UUUGUUUUUAUUACUAGUUCCCUGAAUUUUCAUCACAUUUAUCCUCCUCAUUUUAGAUUCAGAAAGCUGGCAAAGUGGAAAGACUAGAAAUCAAAACCAACCAUGGGUUUUUCCAUCUGGAAAAUGUUACUCAAAAAGAAAAUCAAUUCUCAGAGUGACAUCAGCAACAUGGCAGAGUGAACUUCCCCAGGACUCUCUCCCCUCCAACAUACAAGGAAAAGGGGC
rnacentral:lncRNA from 1 species